CCAACUGGCAUCUUAGGCAAAGCGGGACCGCCCUCGUGUGUGUGGCGGUGGGACAACGCGCUUGUUGUCCUGGUGGCCAGGCCGUG
rnacentral:pre_miRNA from 1 species